rnacentral:rRNA from 1 species
GACGAACGCUGACGGCGUGCUUAACACAUGCAAGUCGUGCGAGAAAAUUCCCUUCGGGGGAUGAGUACAGUGGCGAACGGGUGAGUAACACGUGGGCAAUCUGCCCUGUACUUUGGGAUAAGCCUUGGAAACGAGGUCUAAUACCGGAUAUGAUGAGUCCUCGCAUGGGGGUUUGUUGAAAGUUCCGGCGGUACAGGAUGAGCCCGCGGCCUAUCAGCUUGUUGGUGGGGUAAUGGCCACCAAGGCGACGACGGGUAGCCGGCCUGAGAGGGCGACCGGCCACACUGGGACUGAGACACGGCCCAGACUCCUACGGGAGGCAGCAGUGGGGAAUAUUGCACAAUGGGCGAAAGCCUGAUGCAGCGACGCCGCGUGAGGGAUGACGGCCU